rnacentral:rRNA from 1 species
GACGAACGCUGGCGGCGUGCUUAACACAUGCAAGUCGAACGGUGAAGCGCCUUCCUUUUUGGUGGGUGUGGAUGAGUGGCGAACGGGUGAGUAACACGUGAGUAACCUGCCCCCUUCUUCUGGAUAACCGCGUGAAAGUGUGGCUAAUACGGGAUAUUCUGGGUCUGUCGCAUGAUGGGUCUGGGAAAGAUAUUGUUUCGGUGGGGGAUGGGCUCGCGGCCUAUCAGCUUGUUGGUGGGGUGAUGGCCUACCAAGGCGGUGACGGGUAGCCGGCCUGAGAGGGUGGACGGUCACACUGGGACUGAGACACGGCCCAGACUCCUACGGGAGGCAGCGGUGGGGAAUAUUGCACAAUGGGCGCAAGCCUGAUGCAGCGACGCCGCGUGAGGGAUGGAGGCCUGCGGGGUGUGAACCUCUUUCGCCAGUGAAGCAGGCCUGCCUCGUUUGUGGGUGGGUUGACGGUAGCUGGAUAAGAAGCGCCGGCUAACUACGUG